rnacentral:rRNA from 1 species
AACGAACGCUGGCGGCGCGUCUUAAGCAUGCAAGUCGAACGGCAAGAUUAGUGCUUGCACUGAUCCUAGAGUGGCGGACUGGUGAGUAACACGUGGGUGGACAUACCCUUCCAGUUGGGGAGUAGCUAUUAGAAAUAAGUAGAUAAUACCGAAUACGACCGUAGUUGUUAGAGGACUACGAGGAAAGUAGCUAAGGCUAUGCUGAAGGAUUGGCCGCGGCCCAUUAGCUAGUUGGUGUGGUAAAGGCAUACCAAGGCGAUGAUGGGUAUCCGGCCUGAGAGGGUGAUCGGACACAUUGGGACUGAGAUACGGCCCAGACUCCUACGGGAGGCAGCAGCUAAGAAUAUUCCGCAAUGGACGAAAGUACUGACGGAGCGACGCCGCGUGAACGAAG